GAUGAACGCUGGCGGCGUGCUUAACACAUGCAAGUCGAACGGAAAGGCCACAGCUUGCUGUGGUACUCGAGUGGCGAACGGGUGAGUAACACGGGGAUGAGCUGCCCUGUACUUCGGGAUAAGCUUGGGAAACUGGGUCUAAUACCGGCUAGGAAUCACAUGUGGGGGGGGGGUUGGAAAGCUUUUGCGGUAUGGGAUGAGCUCGCGGCCUAUCAGCUUGUUGGUGGGGUAAUGGCCUACCAAGGCGUCGACGGGUAGCCGGCCUGAGGGGGUGUACGGCCACAUUGGGCCUGAGGUACGGCCCAGACUCCUACGGUAGGCAGCAGUGGGGAAUAUUGCCCAAUGGGCGCAAGCCUGAUGCAGCGACGCCGCGUGGGGGAUGACGGCCUUCGGGUUGUAAACUCCUUUCGGCAGGGACGAAGCGAAAGUGACGGUACCUGGAGAAGAAGCACCGGCUAACUACGUG
rnacentral:rRNA from 1 species